UAAAUCAGGUGCUCUGUUAUCCUCGCUCCUUUUCACGUGUCCAUUAAAUACCCCUGGAGCUUAGCCACUCUCUGUCCCCUUCGGCUCUGGUUUCCCCGGCCAGGAGGAAGCCUUUUGUGAAACUGAGUAGCCCUCGGCAGAGGGGGUAGAUACGGCCUCAGCGUCCAGUCUGAGCAACUCCCCGGGGCACGGGCACCAAAUGAAGUCCCCUGGAAAGGGAGUGACCGACCGUCACACCAGCCAGCCUGGGGAGCAGCGGGAAUUGCCGCCUGAGGAGAGGCCCGGGUCGUCAGGUGUUCGGACCGUCCCGCCCCCUGCCCUGGGCGCCCAGCCCCGGGCCAGGGCGAGGGCGGAGCCGAGGCCCAGGUGGAGCUGGUGGAGCAGGUGGCGAGCGGGGCUCAGGUGCGCCCCAGGCCCGCAGAGGCGGAGAAGGUCGCGCUGUGGGUCCCAGGAUCCAGCUCUGGGAAGCGGGGCUGCUCCCCGCGACCCUGCCUCGCAGAAGGGCGAUGGAAGAGGAAGGGGUAAGAAACUUCAAGGAACUUCGAGCCAAAUUUCAAAACUGUGAUGCUCUGCCUCUUCUAGGACCUAUUAAAUUACCAGCAAGUGUUUCUCAAAAGGGUGACUUCGGAUGCACAAGGCCCCCCCAGAUUUUGGCCCAUGGGAAACCCCUCCCAUCCAACCACAAUUGGCCACCAUCACAUGGCUCCAUUGGUGAGUCCCAGACUCCUAAAACCCAGCAAAUGAAGUUGACCCAGAGGAGUAAAAUUCAGAAGAGCCCAAGUUUCCCAGGACUUUUGGAAAACCCUGCUGUGUGUUCUCCAAGAAAUUCCCAGGAAGCUUCUCUGCUCUUAGAUGUGAAUCGAUCCAAUACUGAGAUGACCAGUGAGGAAAAAGGAACAGUGGCCAACAGCUUUCAAGACAAGCUCAGGAAGUGGGAGAAAGUUUCAUCUCAGAAGAGUGUGACGUUCUCAGCUCUUCUCCUUACCAACGGUGGGGGUAAAGCCUUCCAUCCAGAAGAGGAGAAAAGCACAAAGUUUCUUCCACAUAGACCAAGGGAAAAGAUUCAAACAAAAUGGGCCCUGACACUCCCUUCCAAGAAGGAGUUGGCCCAAAGAAAAGCACUCGCCACCUGUGAACAACCCCCCUCUCCAUGUUCUCAAGCUGGCGAGAAGAACCAAGAAAAACCCAGUGUUGAAGGGAACUCAGCAGGUGGUCCCUGCCAGCCUGUUUAUGAAUGUGAGCUGGCCAUCCCAGCCCCAGCAAACCCGCCAGACACGCAGCAUCGCCAGCUCCCCAGAACAAAGCCACUGCCCCCUGUGGGGUCUCUGGGUCCGGCUCCCCCAAAGCCCCUGAAGCCGCCAGCUGUAGACCUCCAGGCCUUCCAGAGGCAGCCAGCUGCUCUCUCCAAGGCCCAAUACAAAGCAGACAUGAAAGAAUCCCUCUGUCCUCUGGAGAGUGCUGAAUUUGAAGAACCACAUAAUUAUGAGGCAACAAUUUCAUAUCUGAGACACUUGGGCAACUCCAUUAACCUGUGCACUGCAGAAGAAAUUGCUGACUCAACUUAUGAUGUUGGAAUUGAAGAACUCCAAAAGCCUUGGAAGAGUUUUCUCCAUCAAGAACUUCGCCCUAAACGUGAAGAUGAAGAUAAACACAUGAAGGAAAAAGACCCAUGUGGAUUGGAACAUCAAAAUUCAGAACAGGAUCCACAUUCAAAGCAUCCUUUCAAGGUAGACGUUUAUGAGGUGACACCAGAAGACAUCCAGAUGACUACCAGCCACGGAGAUAGAUGGAGCACGGUGGCUAGACAGCAGGAAACCAUGACUGAUGAAAUAGAAGCAAAGGCCUGUCCUGAGGAUAUGGACCUGGUCAGGCCCUCCCAAGGCCAGGGUGUGGAGAGUUUGGAGCUGACGACACACACCCAGGACCUGGUGGCCUUUAAGUCAUGUUCUGGGUUGCAGGCCACAUACGACGAUGUGGAUUGCCCCGUGACAGAUAUAUCCAAGUCGGAUUUCUCCAGCUCAUUUACCUCAGACAGUGUUCCAGAAGAAAGUAGUGAAGAAAUGUAUGAGGAUGUCUACAAAACAAAGAGCAAUUCCUCCCCAAUAGAUUUAGAUGGAAAAGAAGCACUCAAGAGACUGCAGCAAUUUUUCAAAAAAGAAAAGGACAGAUUUAAAAUGAAGGCAACCAAGUCAAAAGAAAAUUUAAGGGCAUUUUCAGUUUCACUGCCUGAUUUACAACUUAGGUCUCAGGAAGUUAUCAUCUAUGAUGAUGUCACCACAAGUGAGAGAAAAUCUAAUCAUGAAGAUAAAAUGAAAACUUGGAGGCCCAAUUUUCUUAUACCAAGAAGAAAAAAAGAGAAAAACCGUGUUGAAGGAUCAGAAAGUUUUUUUCCUAGAAAUUUCUUCAGAAUCAAGAAGCAAAACUCCUUAGAAAAGAAUAGAGUAAGAGAAGAAAAGCUUUUUAGACAACGAUUUCAGUACGACAAGGAAAUUACAGUCAUCAACAGAGCAGUGGUAUGUUCCAGUAAUUCAAGAAAUGGAAUAUUUGAUUUGCCAAUAACUCCUGGGGAAGAACUGGAAGUCAUUGAUACCACUGAUCAAAAUCUAGUGAUAUGUCGCAACUCAAAAGGCAAAUAUGGAUAUGUCCUCAUUGAACAUCUAGACUUCAAGCACCAAGGCUGGUCCCAUUAGGAAGGUCGCAAUUAGAUGGGAAGGCCUGUGAGAGGGAUAAGGGAUUCUAGGACCUGUCUUGCCUCACAGCAGUUUACACGUCAAAAUGAGAUGGAAUCUCUGGAAACUUUGGGAAUGCAGAAGAGAAAAGUGAACGCAAAGCCUCAACAUUUAGUGUUGGUUUUACCCUAAGUUUAUCUUUCAAUGUCUAUUUCACUGCUGGUUCAGGAGAAUGUGAAACAGUGUGUGUUCAUAUUGGAGCACUCGCCUAAUGAGCCAUAUCCAAACUUAGCAAUCAUGCCUAUGGCACCUACUCAGCUGUGCAGAUGGCUGAUCUGCUUCAGUAAUAAUUUCUAGAUGUUGUUCCAGGAUUAAAUCUGGUAUAAUUCUGGACAGUAAAUGUAGCCAAGGUCUUUUUAAAUACUCAACUUUAAGGUACAAUCUGAAAAUAAUUAUGGCUCAAAGUAUAAGUGUCCCUUUGCUUUAUCACAAAAGUGAGUAAAUGCUGUUCAAAAUUAGUUUUCUUUGGAAAUAGUGUGCUGAAAAAAAAUUAUUCCUAAAUUCAAUCAAUGUGUUGAGAAAUGUCUAAAAACAUUUAACAAAAUCUAAAAAAUAUAUAUAUAUAUAUAUAUAUGUGUGUGUGUGGUAUCACUUUAAAGCAUCUUGGUGCCUAAAAUAAGGAAAAUUAUUUUGUGUAUGCUCAAAAGCUUAAAUACUUUAUAUGUAUUUUCACAAAAGUAAACAUAUUAAAAAGCAGAGCUGAACAUUUAUUCUAUUUUAAAUGAUAUACACUGCAUGUCAAUGGGUUAAAUUCUACAUAUGCAUCCAACUUUUUAAAUUGUAGUUUUAUUGGCACUGAAAUUGAAGAAUUGCACUAUGUUCUUUAAGCAGGGUGAUUCCAACCUUUGAAGGUACUGUAUAAUGGAAUUUGUUUCCACAGCUUUGUCCUUUAUAAUUUGAGACUAUUUUUAAAGCUUCCACAUUCUUGUAUUUUCUUUUGUACGUUCCAAAAAUUGGCACUUGCCAAUAAAGACAACGUUAAUCUAAAAGACAGGAAUUAAAGGUAUUUAUAGAGUAUAGAAAAGAGGUAAAGAGAUUAUUACAAAUAGCAGAAUUUAAAAAGUUAUGAAUGAAAUGACUGCAGGAUAACUAAGGUGCUACGAAGAAGAAACUGAAGCUUGGUUUCAAAGACAUAGAGAUGGAAAAUCCACGCUGUGCCUAAUGACAGCAGAGACUCAUGGCAAAUGGAACGCAUUGCUCGUUUCAGAGGGUCAACCUGCAGCAUAUGCAUCAGAAGAGUGGCAACUGAGCGAUUGAGAUAUUCCGGGAUAUAAAACACACCCCCGCGGAUCUUCUUAAACAGUGUAGGAACGUGCUCAUCAUCAAAUGGGAGGGUGCCACACAGAAGGGCAUACAAGAUGACACCACAGCUCCAGAUAUCAACUUCAGGGCCUGCAUAUAACCUAAAGAGGAUUACAAACCUGAGAAGCAAGUAUCACUUUUUCCUCAUCUUUCUGUACCCUGCUUCUAUAUACAUAUGUAGUACAGAUCAGCAUAUUAUGAUUUUCAAAGUUUUUAAAAUAAAGUCAUGGCCACUCCUAAUACUCAAUGGUUGUUCUCCAUAAGGAAUAAUUGGGCUAACCAGUCACCAUGCAAGUUUGCCAAGAGAAUGUGGUAUAUAUAUUUGUCACCAACUCAUUUAAUUGUAAUUUACUAACUAAAAAUUAUAACACUUUCUAUGGGUGAUUUUUAAAGGAAAUAUCAAAAUAGAUAAUUAUAAACUUUAAAAAACACUAGCAUAGUAUAUAGGCUCACUCUUCUCCCAUAGAACUAUUACAAGAAAGAAAAUGCACGUAUCAGAAUGUUUAUCCCUUGCACACCUGUUUUAAACAAUAUUUGAAACAUUAAAGUAGCAAACUAGUACUAUGGAGAGAGAAUUUGUACCUACUACUUUUAUUCUACUAAUCACUUGUUAGCUCACAGAACUAAGAUUAGUUUUGCUCUGGGUAACCUGUAUCUACAGUUCUCAGCUAUUUUUUCUCUCACCUUCCUACAGCAUUAAAAUUCCCAACAGUGAAUUAACAAACUCAAACCUGGGCUGAGGUGACAAAAGUGCAACUCCAAUGCAAAGGACAGAAAAUAUUUCUAUAAAAAUUGCUGUUCUUCAUUUGUAUCAUUUGCUAUAGGACUCAAACUCCUUGCGAUGGACUGCAUGUUCAUGUCCCCUGAAAAUACAUACGCUGAAAUCUUAACUCCCAAAGCGAUGGCAUUAGGAGGUGGAGACUCUAGGGGGAGAUGAGGUCAUGAGGGUGAAACUCUCAUGAUGGGAUUAGGGCCCUUACAGAGAUCGAUGCCCGUUCCACCACAUGAGGUUACAAUAAGCAGACAGUGGACUACGGGGAACCGGUCCUACCAGACAUCAACUCUGCCAGCACCUUGCUUUUAGAUUUCUCAGCCUCUAGAAAAGUGAGAAAUAAAUUUCCAUUGUUUAAAAGCCACUCUGUCUGUGAUAUUCUGUUACAGUGUCCCAAGUGGAUUACAACACUCCUAUAUCUGCUACUUGUACUACUUUCCUUUAUCUGCCACUUUUCAGUAUUUUCUGAGAAUUACUUUUUAAAUCACCAUUGGCCAUUGCAGAAAGACGACUUCAUCACUGUAAUCUGCAUAAAUGUGAUCAUAUUGUACCCAUCAAUAAACUACACAAAUAGCCUCCA